rnacentral:tRNA from 1 species
GUAUGUAGCUUAGUUGGUAGAGUGCUUGCCUUGCAUGCACAAGGCCCUGAGUUUGAUCCCCAGCACCACA